rnacentral:lncRNA from 10 species
GGGGCGGAGCCUGCGGUCGGGUCUCGGCGACCCGCCGGGACUUUCUAAUCAGAGUCGUGGGGAUUUUACGGGUGGAGUUACUCCGAAACCUUUAAGGCCGAGUGUGAUAGAUAUUUGCAACCAUUCUUCCAAUCAAUUUUAGAAAAUUUCCACCACCUCAAAAAGAAAUCCUGAUGAAGAAACAUCCUGAGAAGGUUGACAUGCUGAAUGCCUUAAAGAACUUCAAUUGGGAUGCCAGAUGAAAGUGUAACUAGAAUUUCUAUGGCUUAAAUAACGAGAGCUGGAGUGCAGUAGCAUGAUCAUGGCUCACUGCUGCCUCGACCUCCCGGGCUCAGAGAUUCUCUUGCCUCAGCCUCCUGAGUAGCUGGGACCACAGAGAUGGGGUCUCUCUGUUGCCCAGGCUUGUCUGGAACACCUGGGCUCAAAUAAUCCUCCUGCCUUG